rnacentral:rRNA from 1 species
UACGUAGGGUGCAAGCGUUGUCCGGAAUUAUUGGGCGUAAAGAGCUCGUAGGCGGUUAGUCGCGUCUGCUGUGAAAACUCGGGGCUUAACUCCGGGCCUGCAGUGGGUACGGGCUGACUAGAGUGCGGUAGGGGAGACUGGAAUUCCUGGUGUAGCGGUGAAAUGCGCAGAUAUCAGGAGGAACACCGGUGGCGAAGGCGGGUCUCUGGACAGUUCCUGACGCUGAGGCACGAAGGUCAGGGGAGCAAACGGG